rnacentral:rRNA from 28 species
UAUGACUCUCGGCAAUGGAUAUCUUGGCUCUUGCAUCGAUGAAGAGCGCAGCGAAAUGCGAUACGUGGUGCGAAUUGCAGAAUCCCGUGAACCAUCGAGUUUUUGAACGCAAGUUGCGCCUGAGGCCAUCUGGUUGAGGGCACGUCCGCCUGGGCGUCAUGC